GCAGUGAGGAAUAUUGGUCAAUGGACGAGAGUCUGAACCAGCCAAGUAGCGUGGAGAAUGAAGGUCCUACGGAUUGUAAACUUCUUUUAUAAGGGAAUAAACCCUCCCACGUGUGGGAGCUUGUAUGUACCUUAUGAAUAAGCAUCGGCUAACUCCGUGCCAGCAGCCGCGGUAAUACGGAGGAUGCGAGCGUUAUCCGGAUUUAUUGGGUUUAAAGGGAGCGCAGACGGGUCGUUAAGUCAGCUGUGAAAGUUUGGGGCUCAACCUUAAAAUUGCAGUUGAUACUGGCGUCCUUGAGUGCGGUUGAGGUGUGCGGAAUUCGUGGUGUAGCGGUGAAAUGCUUAGAUAUCACGAAGAACUCCGAUUGCGAAGGCAGCACACUAAUCCGUAACUGACGUUCAUGCUCGAAAGUGUGGGUAUCAAACAGGAUUAGAUACCCUGGUAGUCCACACGGUAAACGAUGGAUACUCGCUGUUAGCGAUAUACUGUCAGCGGCUUAGCGAAAGCGUUAAGUAUCCCACCUGGGGAGUA
rnacentral:rRNA from 1 species